CAGCAGCCGCGGGAAUACAGAGGGUGCAAGCGUUAAUCGGAAUUACUGGGCGUAAAGCGCGCGUAGGCGGCUUCUUAAGUCGGAUGUGAAAUCCCUGAGCUUAACUUAGGAAUUGCAUUCGAUACUGGGAAGCUAGAGUAUGGGAGAGGAUGGUAGAAUUCCAGGUGUAGCGGUGAAAUGCGUAGAGAUCUGGAGGAAUACCGAUGGCGAAGGCAGCCAUCUGGCCUAAUACUGACGCUGAGGUACGAAAGCAUGGGGAGCAAACAGGAUUAGAUACCCGCGUAGUCCCUGUCUCUUAUAC
rnacentral:rRNA from 1 species